rnacentral:sRNA from 1 species
UAAAAAGCCCGGCUGGCCGGGCAA